rnacentral:rRNA from 1 species
GACGUUAGCUGCAGAAGAAGCACCGGCUAACCUCCGUGCCAGCAGCCGCGGUAAUACGGAGGGUGCGAGCGUUAAUCGGAAUUACUGGGCGUAAAGCGCAUGCAGGUGGUUUGUUAAGUCAGAUGUGAAAGCCCCGGGGCUCAACCUCGGAAUUGCAUUUGAAACUGGCAGACUAGAGUACUGUAGAGGGGGUAGAAUUUCAGGUGUAGCGGUGAAAAUGCGUAGAGAUCUGAAGGAAUACCGGUGGCGAAGGCGGCCCCCUGGACAGAUACUGACACUCAGAUGCGAAAAGCGUGGGGAGCAAACAGGAUUAGAUACCCUGGUAG